rnacentral:rRNA from 1 species
AUGAGAAUUGUAGUAUGGAACUGCCGGGGAUUGGGGAAUGGCCCGGCGGUGAGAGGACUUCUGGAUCUUCAGAAGCAGGUGGACCCCGACAUCCUCUUCUUAUCUGAGACCAAAUUGGAUAAGAGGAGGAUGGAAAAGUUUAAGUGGAUGUUACAGAUGGGAAACAUGAUAGUGAGAGAUUGCGAGGGGAAGAGUGGGGGAUUGGCAUUGUUUUGGAAAAAAGAAGUAAAUUUGGAGCUGCUCAACUAUUCUAAGAAUCAUAUUGACGCAAAAAUAGUGGAAAAGGAUGGGUUUAAAUGGCGAUUUACAGGUAUUUAUGGAGAGCCAGCGAAUGAUAAAAGGAAUAUAACUUGGAAAUUACUUCGCGUAAUAAGUCAGCAGCUGAACCUUCCAUGGUUGUGUGCGGGCGACUUUAAUGAGAUCAUGUAUAACCAUGAGAAGAGAGGGGGGCCAGCCAGAGCUCAAAGCCAAAUGGAAAAUUUUAGAGCAGCCCUAGCAAGCUGUGGGUUGAGAGAUUUGGGCUAUGUGGGGGAUAAAUAUACGUGGCGUAACCAUAGUUGGGAUGCUAGCCGGUUUGUUAAAGAAAGACUGGAUAGAGCUGUGGGGUCAAAAAGUUGGUGUGCAAGAUUUCCUAACUUCAGAGUCCUAAAUGGAGACCCACACCACUCAGACCAUAGGCCUAUAACUAUCCAAAUAGGGGAAGCUGGGAGAGUAUUUUCUUAUAAAAGAAGGGCUCAUAGUUUCAAGUUUGAAGCUAGGUGGUUGCAGGAGGAUGAUUGUGAAAAGGUGGUCAACAAUGCAUGGUCCAAUGCUGGCCUGCGGGGAGAUCAAAAUACCCAGGCGAUGUUGAGUAAGGUAGCAGGAGAUCUAAAGGACUGGGACACUAAUGUUUUAGGUGAUCUGGAGAAAAGAAUCAAAAUGUUAAAAAAAGGAGUUAGAAGAGGUGCGAAGAGGAGACAUCACCCAAGAAAGGGUUAA